CGCAGGGUUCGGCUGGAGAAACCCUCCAGUGAUUCAAAAACCUCAUGAGGGUCAGAAGGAACCCAUUGAAAAUGGCUUAGGAUGAGGGUCUUUGGGGAUGAAGACUGGCCUGGAAGGAGAGCUACCUGGACCCAUCAUACCCAAACUCCAAAUGGGGACACUCCUACGGGGUUGAAGCACUCAUCGUAUCUCUACCAGACUAUUGUAUCUGUUUCUCCACUGGU